CUAUGAUAUGGCAGGAAUAGCAAAACCCCUGUACAAUAUGCUAAAAGAUAGUGCUAAUACAGAUAAGCUACUCUGGACAGAGGAAGCUGAAAAAAGUUGGAACCUGUUAAAAGAUGCUCUUACACAAGCACCUGUGUUAGCUGCUCCCAUUGAAACAGUACCAUAUAUUGUUCAAUGUUACGCAGGUGUCUCUUCAUUAAUAGCAGUUUUGAUGCAAAGGCAACAUGGCUCCUUACGAAUACUGG